UUAUUAUCAGCGUGGCUUUGUAAUGAUUAUGAUGAGGCAGUUUCAUCUGAGAGUGCUACUCAAAGCUCUUUGGAGAAGAAUACCCUGCGGAAUGCAACCUUCCCUAGUGCAUCUGAGGUAAUUGGAGUAAGUUGAUGAUGGGUAUGGUAGAUAGCAUGUUUGUGACAGAUAUGAAAAUUGCCCGAGGGUAGAGAUGGGCUGGGUUUUGCUUCCUCCACACAAGCUUCCCAUCUUGCCCAGCCCAAAAUUAAAGGAAACGAAAGGGUCAAACUAAAAGGAAGGAUAAGUAGUGUUUAGACUUUAGAGUACUGGGUGAGUUGGGCCAAAACCAAAGCCCAAAUUGUAAGUAAAGGGAAAGAUCGAUCAGAGUUGGUGGCAAUAGCAGCGAAUGUUAACCCCAUUUUCUCGCAAACUACUACUCAGAUCUCUUUAUCUCUAUCAGCUGUGCCUUCUCCUUUGACCAAAAACUCGAAGAUCCACCUUCUUGUCUCGUAUCAUCUCAUGUGUUCUCUUGUUCUUUUGUGUUUUCUCUUUCUUUUUAUGUUCUUCGAUCUGCUCUCUCCGUUUGGGUUUUGGUUUUUAUCAAAAGAAACUCACUGUUAUGUUAAUGUGAAUAUCGUAUGAGUUAAGUUAAUAUCUUUAUGCUCUCAUUUUUAUUUUACUUGCUUUUAUUUUUAUUUUGUUGGAUUCAUGUAAUUUGAUUAGAUUUUGUAACUCUUUUUUGUGUUAUAAUUUUUUAGAAAUGUAUUUAGAGGAACUUUUUUUUUUUUUUUUUUUCAAUUUCUGUAUUUUUAUUAUGAACGCCACAAUCUGGAACUUAGGAUCUUCUUGACCGGCAAUAGAACCCUUGAGAGAGAGCUUAGAAAAGUUUAUUGAUUCAACACUAUUCUUCCUGAUGAUGCAAACUAGGUAAUUGCAACUCCCAUGACGGAAUUUCGAAGAGUAUCCCAUGCUUGCUUGGAAUUGGUUUCGUUGGCAACCUUCUCGAACAUAUCAUCAUCUAUGCCUUGAUGAAUAAUGGUAAGCGCACAUUGAUCCUUCUUCCUUUCUUUCUUCGAGGCAUCCUUUUGAGCAUGAUUCAACUCCUCUUCAUUUUGAGGUUCUACAUUAACCUUUUUCAACAACCUCCCAUACUCCUUGGGAACCAAGGAAAGCCUUCAUUCGAAUUGCCCAAUUCUCAUAAUUGUGCUUGACGAGUUGCUGGUAUUGGAAAGAAAGAGUGGCUACUUUGGAAGACAUUCUCUUCAAUCAAGCCUCUAUACCACUUUGUUGAAGCAAGAUGGGCACAAAGCUCACAAGGAAAGAGGAAAUAGAAAAGGGAUUCACAAAUCAAACUUCUUAUUUCACUUGUUGAACAUAGCUUGAGUACAUGACUAUAUAUACUACUCAAAAGAAAACUCAAGAGUCUAAAUUUAAGAACAUAUAAUUCUAUUCACGUCCAUUGGACGUUUUACACACCAAAAGACACACAUAUUGCGGUUUCUCCUGUUUCUUGGUUUUCAUUAAACAGUCAAUAGUAAGUUGGUCAUAACUUUCUCAAU